CGGUGGGCGGAGCUUCAUUCAGUUACUGCAGGAAAUGUGGGAAAACCCGAAAACAAGAUGGCGGCGGCGAGUUAAUAGAAAAUAAUAAGUAUAAUUUCUGUAAUAUAUAAAUUAGUGAUGUAGAUAGUGAUCCUGAAGUAAACAUAUUUUUUUAUAUCGUAUAAUAAAGUUUCAAAAUAAUUUGAAAGCUGUUUAAUAGAGAAACGUGAUUUAAACAGCGUUAGCUCGCUAGCAUUUUUGCUAUUAAUGUAAGCAAAAGCACACAUUAAAUCUUGACAGUAAAUUACAGAUUUGUAUUUUUUUAUUUUCUUUUUUAAACCCAUAUAUUUGGGCAUACGUUUAUUCGAAUGCUUCAUUAGAGAUUCAUUUCCUGGUUCAUUUCCUGUUUGGACCGGAAGUAGAUUCUGCACAUGAGAAGAUGCAUGUGGCUCUGACGGAAGCUUCUGUUGAUCGAAAGGUGAAGGAGGCGCUUCCUGGAGCGGCGCAGACGCCUCUACAUAACCUGAAAUCGGGAGACCGGGUGAAGUGAAGCGGUGAAGUACUUCAGAAGAAAGAGCCGGAACACCAAACGGUGGCUGGGACCUUUCCAGGUGCUCCUGACAACGCAGACUGCUGUGAAUGUCACAGAGAGAGCCACGUGGAUUCACGCCAGCCAGUGCAAACGAGUGCCAGACCCGGAACAGGGGUUGAUGGGAGACGGGGAAAGUGAGAACACUUCACAUAGGAACUCUGGUGUCGCUGGACCUCGUGAGGUGGGAGAAGGGCGCCGUUUAGGUGCUUAAGUCGCACCUGCCCUUCAAGCACCAAUAACGUCAAGAAUAGGAAAGGUGUCACCAGACCAGAUCUAGAACAAACAGGAGACCCGCUCCGAUCCACCUGACGACACACAACCUGAGAAGGAUACGUUAAUUUAAGUAGUUAAGCGUUGAAUUAUGUUGUAACGAGUUUAGAAUAUUCACGAUUAUUGAAAACCCUUAUGGGAAAGUUUGUGUCUGAUGUUCCAUUUCUCUGUUUCACCCUAAACUGUUUAGCCAUGUUUUAUUUUUGCAGUUGUGUCUUAUUGAAUGAUCAAAUAUUACAAUGAAUAAAAUUUGACUCUGGAGUUUGUCCAUAAAGGACAAAAUGGAGGGAAAUGUAA